rnacentral:rRNA from 1 species
CUCCGGUUGAUCCCGCCGGACCCGACUGCUAUCAGAGUGGGACUAAGCCAUGCGAGUCAACAUAGCAAUAUGUGGCAUACGGCUCAGUAACACGUAGUCAACAUGCCCAGGGGACGUGGAUAACCUCGGGAAACUGAGGAUAAACCGCGAUAGGUCAUCACUUCUGGAAUGGGUAAUGACUUAAAUCUAUAUGGCCCCUGGAUUGGACUGCGGCCGAUCAGGCUGUUGGUGAGGUAAUGGCCCACCAAACCUGUAACCGGUACGGGCUCUGAGAGGAGGAGCCCGGAGAUGGGCACUGAGACAAGGGCCCAGGCCCUAUGGGGCGCAGCAGGCGCGAAACCUCUGCAAUAGGCGAAAGCUUGACAGGGUUACUCUGAGUGAUUUCCGUUAAGGAGACCUUUUGGCACCUCUAAAAAUGGUGCAGAAUAAGGGGUGGGCAAGUCUGGUGUCAGCCGCCGCGGUAAUACCAGCACCCCGAGUGGUCGGGACGUUUAUUGGGCCUAAAGCAUCCGUAGCCGGUUCUACAAGUCUUCCGUUAAAUCCACCUGCUUAACAGAUGGGCUGCGGAAGAUACUAUAGAGCUAGGAGGCGGGAGAGGCAAGCGGUACUCGAUGGGUAGGGGUAAAAUCCGUUGAUCCAUUGAAGACCACCAGUGGCGAAGGCGGCUUGCCAGAACGCGCUCGACGGUGAGGGAUGAAAGCUGGGGGAGCAAACCGGAUUAGAUACCCGGGUAGUCCCAGCUGUAAACGAUGCAGACUCGGUGAUGAGUUGGCUUAUUGCUAACUCAGUGCCGCAGGGAAGCCGUUAAGUUUGCCGCCUGGGGAGUACGGUCGCAAGACUGAAACUUAAAGGAAUUGGCGGGGGAGCA